GAUGAACGCUGGCGGCGUGCCUAAUACAUGCAAGUCGAGCGAACAGACGAGGAGCUUGCUCCUCUGACGUUAGCGGCGGACGGGUGAGUAACACGUGGAUAACCUACCUAUAAGACUGGGAUAACUUCGGGAAACCGGAGCUAAUACCGGAUAAUAUAUUGAACCGCAUGGUUCAAUAGUGAAAGACGGUUUUGCUGUCACUUAUAGAUGGAUCCGCGCCGCAUUAGCUAGUUGGUAAGGUAACGGCUUACCAAGGCAACGAUGCGUAGCCGACCUGAGAGGGUGAUCGGCCACACUGGAACUGAGACACGGUCCAGACUCCUACGGGAGGCAGCAGUAGGGAAUCUUCCGCAAUGGGCGAAAGCUUGACGGAGCAACGCCGCGUGAGUGAUGAAGGUCUUCGGAUCGUAAAACUCUGUUAUUAGGGAAGAAAAAAUGUGUAAGAAACUAUGCACGUCUUGACGGUACCUAAUCAGAAAGCCACGGCUAACUACGUG
rnacentral:rRNA from 1 species